CCUACGGGGAGCAGCAGUAGGGAAUGUUGCGCAAUGGGCGAAAGCCUGACGCAGCAACGCCGCGUGAAGGAGACGCGCUUAGGGGUGUAAAGAUCUGUCAGUGGGGACGAAACUUGACGGUACCCACAGAGGAAGCACCGGCUAACUCCGUGCCAGCAGCCGCGGUAAUACGGGGGGUGCAAGCGUUGUCCGGAAUCAUUGGGCGUAAAGAGUUCGUAGGCGGCACGUAAAGUCUGGUGUGAAAGGCAGAGGCUCAACUUCUGUACGGCACUGGAUACUUGCGAGCUAGAGUGCGGGAGAGGUAAGGGGAAUUCGUGGUGUAGCGGUGAAAUGCUUAGAUAUCAGGAGGAACAUCGGUGGCGUAAGCGCUUUACUGGGCCGUAAUUGACGCUGAGGAACGAAAGCCAGGGUAGCAAAUGGGAUUAGAUACCCUGGUAGUC
rnacentral:rRNA from 1 species